ACAAAUAAAUGCAUGAAAUUUUCAUACAAUAUAAAGGAGAUAAUGGAAAUUAAUAUGCACAAGUCAAAUUUUACAACACCGCUGCAUCACAUAUAAAAAAGAACAUUGCUUAAAUAGAAGCCAUUUUUGGCUUUGCAUGCCCGUGCUUUUUCGAAAACUUGCACCAUAACACCCUCAAGAGUUUCAGACCCCACUUCUCUGAUUUCUUUACUGAUGUUCUCCUUCAUUUGCACCAGGGUCUCAGUUUGUUGAGGUAAAUCCACAAGAAAAAAUCCAGGCUAGUCAAAUCUGGGGAACGUGAAGGCUAUUCAAAGUAGACCUCACACACGGCUCCAGCAAGAUGGGGCAACUGCUCAUACCACAAGAGAAACAAUGCAGUUGCUACGGCAAUACGUUGGAGAAAGAA